rnacentral:rRNA from 1 species
AUUGAACGCUGGCGGCAGGCCUAACACAUGCAAGUCGUACGGUAGCACAGAGAGCUUGCUCUCGGGUGACGAGUGGCGGACGGGUGAGUAAUGUCUGGGAAACUGCCCGAUGGAGGGGGAUAACUACUGGAAACGGUAGCUAAUACCGCAUAACAUCGCAAGACCAAAGAGGGGGACCUUCGGGCCUCUCACUAUCGGAUGAACCCAGAUGGGAUUAGCUAGUAGGCGGGGUAACGGCCCACCUAGGCGACGAUCCCUAGCUGGUCUGAGAGGAUGACCAGCCACACUGGAACUGAGACACGGUCCAGACUCCUACGGGAGGCAGCAGUGGGGAAUAUUGCACAAUGGGCGCAAGCCUGAUGCAGCCAUGCCGCGUGUAUGAAGAAGGCCUUCGGGUUGUAAAGUACUUUCAGCGGGGAGGAAGGCGAUGUGGUUAAUAACCGCGUCGAUUGACGUUACCCGCAGAAGAAGCACCGGCUAACUCCGUGCCAGCCGCCGCCGUAA